UGCCAGCAGCCGCGGUAAUACGGAGGGGGCUAGCGUUGUUCGGAAUUACUGGGCGUAAAGGGCGUGUAGGCGGUCUAUCGAGUCAGGCGUGAAAGCCCAGGGCUUAACCUUGGAACUGCAUUUGAUACUGGUAAUCUUGAGUACAGUAGAGGGAGGUGGAAUUUCAGGUGUAGCGGUGAAAUGCGUAGAUAUCUGAAGGAACAUCAGUGGCGAAGGCGACCUUCUGGACUGAUACUGACACUGAGGUGCGAAAGCGUGGGGAACAAACAGGAUUAGAUA
rnacentral:rRNA from 1 species